rnacentral:rRNA from 1 species
CCUACGGGUGGCAGCAGUAGGGAAUAUUGCUCAAUGGGGGAAACCCUGAAGCAGCAACGCCGCGUGGAGGAUGAAGGUUUUCGGAUUGUAAAAUCCUUUUGUUAGAGAAGAUAAUGACGGUAUCUAACGAAUAAGCAACGGCUAACUCCGAGCAAGCAGCCGCGGUAAUACGGAGGGUGCAAGCGUUACUCGGAAUCACUGGGCGUAAAGAGCGCGUAGGCGGGAUAGCAAGUCAGAUGUGAAAUGCUAUGGCUUAACCAUAGAACUGCCUUUGAAACUGUUAUUCUAGAGUAUGGGAGAGGUAGGUGGAAUGCGUGGUGUAGGGGUAAAAUGCGUAGAGAUCAAGAAGAAUACUGAUUGCGAAGGCGACCUGCUAGAACAUAACUGACGCUGAUGCGCGAAAGCGUGGGGAGCGAACAGGAUUAGAUACCCGGGUAGUC